CUUUACUCUAACUCCCAGGACUCACUCAGAGGAUGUUGAAGGAGAAACAUUGAGAGGAAAGCCAAAGACAGCCAUCUGGAGCCUGUUCAGAAGGGACGACAGUAAACAAGAUCUACUCUUCUUCAUCCCCAAUAUAACUGCUGGCAGCCUUUCCAUGAUCUCAUUGUAUGGGAACAGGAAAAUGAAGACUAGCCAAAAAAAGGAAUGUGAGAAACCUCAGGAUAGCUUACACCCUGCAUAUCAAGAUGCUACUAAAGGAAACAUCAAAAGGAACCCUACCAAUAUGAAGAGUGCUAUCAAGAUUCAUAUGCCAGCUUUUAGAGAUGAAUAAUGAAAUGAAAUGAGAUGUUUUGGUUUAUAUUUUUGCUAUGGUCAGCUUCAGUGGCAAUGUGAAUAAAGGGUGUACCCAAGCUGUAA